rnacentral:lncRNA from 1 species
CCGGACUCGGACCCGGACCGAUUGUAUCCGGGCAGGGUCCGAUCAUGCAAUACCCGGACCCGGCCCGGGAUUUUGCCAUCUCUACCCGGCAUUGUGCCGGCUUGUAAAUGCAGUCAUUGAAUUCAUGUAAAAUAAAUCAAACGGUUGACAUUGAAAAGAAAUUAAAAAAAAGGUACAAAUGAGCAACCGAAGCAACCGAUUCCCCAAGGUUGCAAAACAAAAUUUAGGUGUUUCAAUUGCGCCCGAUCUCUUGCAUCUCUCUCAAAAAUCACAAAUUUCUCUCUUCAACUUCUUGACAAAUCAAAUAAAAUCGAAGCCACAUCUCGCUCACACAAUCCAAUCCAUCAACUUGUUGUUGUCAUCUUGAGUCGUUUGCUUCCGGUCUAGUUGUUUCUGUCGCUAACAUCGUUGCCUCCUUUUUCAUUCGACGUUUUCAGCUGUACAAAGUAAGGAUGGGUGGCUUUGCUGGUCUCACGCUUGUGCCUUUAUCCUCAUGGGUACGUCCCCGUUGACUGUGGCUUAAACAUCUAGUUCUUAAAGUCUACUAUAAGUUUGCUGGUACUGUUAAGUGAUUGAAACUAUUGUUGCAGCUUCACCCAAUAUUCUGUUUAUUGCUGUAUUUCUUCUACUUUUAUCAUUCUGGUAGCUUUUCUCUUCUUGAAUGAAGCAUCUUUAAUUGGUACCUCGCUUGCUUGUACCCAAUUUGGCUCUGGCUUCUAUCGACAGCUUUCUUGCUUUUGUUGCAUUCUAUCAGGUUUGAUUUAAAUACCCACUUUUGCUUAUUUUUCAUGAUGGUAAGAGUUCAUUGUCAAGACAUGCAACAUUUGAUGCGAAAUAUGCAACAUCUCACAUAAAACAUGCAAAAUAGACGUCAAACAUGAAACGGGCAGGAAUAUUUUCUAUUUUUUAGCUUUAUUCAAGACAUACGAUGUUUGACGUGAAACAUGCAAUAACUAAUGUCAAAUAUGCAACAACUGACGUGAAACAUAUAACAUGCAAUUUACAUGUAAUUAAGUUACGUGAAACAUGUAACAACUGAGGUAAAAUAUGUAAUGACUGAGGUUAAAUAUGAGAACCACGUCAACAUGUAAUAUUUCAUGUCAAACAUGAAACGGACAAGAGUAUUUGAGAAUAUUCUCUAUUUUUGGCUUUAUUCAAGAUAUGGAAAAUCUGACAUCAAAUAUGCAACAGUUGACAUAAAACAUGCAACAUGCAACAUUUCACAUCAAACAUGCAAUAUAUCACGUAAAAACAUGCAAUGUUGACGUUAAAUAUGAAAUGGACAAGAAUAUUCAUGAAUAUUCCUUAUUUUUUAGCUUUAUCCAAGACAUGCAACAUUUGAGUCAAACAUGCAACAUCUGACGUCAAAUAUGCAACAACUGAUGUAAAACAUGCAACCUGCAACAUUUCAUGUCAAAAAUGCAACAUACCACGCAUAACAUGAAACGUUGAUGUCAAACAUGAAACAGGCAAGAAUAUUCUUGAAUAUGUAACACCCUAAGUGAAUCUCACAUUGGUAAAGCACGGGAGAAAUACUGGGUUUAUAAGGAGUGAUCCACACCUUAACUAGCAAGACGCGUUUUUAAGUGUAUGGGUGCCGCAGGAACAAAACUGUGUGGGUCUUGUUAAGGUCCAAAGUGGACAAUAUCUUACCAAGUUUGGGUUGGGUCAUGACAAAUGGUAUCAGAGUCGCUCUGUGUGUCCUCUUCAGCGAUGGUGGGGCGAGUCUCAACGAGGACACUGAGUCCAUAAAGUGGUGUAUGUAACACCUUAGGCGAAUCCCAUAUCAACAAAGCACUGGAGAGAUGCUGGGUUUAUAAGGGGUGAUCCACUCUUUAAUUUCAUGACGCAUUUUGUAUGGGCGCCGUAGGAACAAAAUCAUGUAGGUCUUGUUAAGGCCUAAAGCAGACAAUAUCUUGCCAUAUUUGGGUUGGGUCAUAACAGAAUAUUCUUCAUUUUUGGCUUCAUUCAAGACAUGCUAUAUCUAACGUCAAACAUGCAACAAUGACGUCUAAUAUGCAACAGUUAACGUAAAACAUGCAACUUGCAACUUUUCACGUUAACUAUGCAACAUAUUGUCAGUAAUAUGGCCUGAAGACCAAUCAAAUGAUGUUUGCUUUUAGAGAAUUAUUGUAUUUGAAUAGCAUUUUGAUAUUUAUAAAAUGGCAAAGUUGCCAACAUUCAUAAAUUAAUUUAAUGAAUAUAGUCCAAGAAGUAAAAUAGUUAAUGAACACAUUCUCGAGUUUGUUGAAAAUACGAAACGUGUAUUCUUUGUACUAUACUUUUAAAAUAGUUCCUAGUGGUGAAUUUAUGAUUGGACGUCAUAAAUUCCUAUAAACACUAGUAUGUGUAUGACUCAUUUAUGGUAUGUGAUACUAAAAUGGAUAGUGAAUUUCAUAUCAUUGACAUGAGAUGUCAAGUCAAACACAUAGGUACUUGUUGCAAAAAUGAGUUUACUGAACUUGACCAAAUAUAAUAAGUCACAUGGUUUUGAGUGUUAAUGACUUAUUAUACAUUAUGAUAGACACUAUAUUUAAUAAUGGUUUUUAGACUUGAGGCAUCACAUAUGUCUUGUACAUAGACAUCUCUGAUAUGUGAAAGCAUAAUGAUUGAUUCCUAAUCAAGGAAGAGAUCUAGCAAUAGUUGUCAUGGUUGGUUAUGUAUGGAGACAAGUGUAUGGCCAAUAUGGAAUUCAUCACUUCGUAAUAUAUAAAAAGGAUGUCCCUGAAAGAUAAUAUGAAUUGACAUGAGAAAUCCUUGGCCAAGAUGAAAUAUAUUUGAAGGAGUUCAAAUUAUAUUUUUCAUGCCAAGUUUAUUUAGAUUUAUUUUUGAGAUAAAGUAUAAAUGCUUAACACCCUAAACCAUAAGCCAUGUUUUUCUCUGGACAUAGAUGAUGAAGAGACCAGGACAUAGAGAAACAAUUAAAUAGGUUCUAUAGAUCUAGCAAUUCUUGUUAUUUGGGUGGUUGUGAAAUACUGUUAAGUGUCACUCAUGACUUGUAGAAACCUUAAGAUAAUUAUUAGUAAAGCGUAUUAGCAAUGCAUCUUAAGGUCAUUAGAAAAGUUAUAAUUGAUGACUAAAGAGUUUAGCAUCAUUUAAUGAAUAAAGAGUUAUCAUUAAAAUAAUUCUACUACCUUAUAACAAAGAACCUAAAAGGUUACACACCUAAUAGAAAUGAAAAAUGAGUUACUAGUAAAUGAGAAGUUAAAUUUCCUAAUUUUAGGAAAAUCGGUAUUUAUAUUACAAUUCAUUAAGAAUGGAUAUAUAUACCUUAAAUAUGAUUUGAGAUAGAAAUUUAGAUGUUCCAUGAAUAGUUUAAGAAACAAAAUAAAUUUCAUAAAUCCUUAAUUAAAUAUUAUGUGCAAUAUCGAGUAAGUAAAAUGACCAUAUUGGACAUGUUUUGGUUCAUAAAUGAUUAUGGACUUCUAGACCAAUUUUGGGUUUAGAGUUUUAGGCUUUUAUUGGACCUAAUAUGGAUUAGGAAAAGGCAUAAGAAUAUGUCACAAAGGAAGCCCACAAUUAACCACUUGAUUUGAUCAAAAUGGCAUUAAUUAAUUAAAUACAAAAU